UUUGAAUUAAAAUUGGAUUCCUACUUGGAGUAGGAUUCCUAGAAAUCCUAAUUGGAUUAGGACUUCGGAUUCAAAUAGAGUCCUAAUUGGAUUAGGACUAAAAUUAAACAAAUCCUAAUUGGAUUAGGAUUCCUUAAGUCUAAAUUAAUUAUUAAUCUAAUGAAUCAACAUGACUCCUAAUUGGAUUAGGAUUGAAGAGUUCAAUUGAGUCACGGU
rnacentral:lncRNA from 1 species